GGAAAGGGAUCCGGGCAUCAGCGGGGACCACAAGCUAAAUGAGUCAACAGUGUAGCACUGUUGCAACAAAAGCAAACCUCCUUCUGGGAUGUAUUAGCAGCAGUGUUGUAAGCAAGACACAAGAAGUAAUUCUUCCCAACUACUCUGCACUGAUUAGGCCUCAAGUGGAGUAUCGUGUCCAGUUCUGGGUGCUACAGUUCAGAAAAGAUGUGGACCAAUUGGAGACAGUCCAGGGCAAUGCAAUAAAAAUGGUUAAAGGGCUAGAAAAAACGACCUAGGAGGGAAGAUUGAAAAAAUUGGGUUUGUUUAGUCUGCAAAAGAGAUGACUGAGAGGGAUCAUAAGUUUUCAAGUAUGUGAAAGGUUGUUAGGAGGAGGAAGAAAAUUUGCUCAUAACCUCUGAGGAUAGGACAAGAAGCAAUGGGCUUAAAUUGCAGGAAGGACGCUUUACGUUCGAUAUUAGGAGAAACUUCUUAACUGUUGGGGUGGUUAAGCACUGGAAUAAAUUGCUUUGGGAGGUUGUGGAAUCUCCAUCAUUGGAGAUUUUUAAGAGCAGGUUAGACAAAUGCUUGUCAGGAAUGGUCUAGAUAACUAAUCCUGCCAUGAGUGCAGGAGACUGGACUAGAUGACCUCUCAAGGUCCCUUCCAGUCCAAUGAUUCUAGUCCCAGCUCCUGACAGAGGCUUAGUGACAUGCAGAAUAUGGGGUUGUGUACCUGACUGUUUUGGCUAAUAGCCAUUGGUGGACCUGCCCUCCAUGAAUUUAGCUAGUUCUUUUGUGAAUCCAGCUAUAUUUUAUAAACUCUUUGAGGAAGAAACCGUCACUGUGGCUGCUUUUCUCAUUUGGGUUUUGUGGCUUCAGCAUCACUGGGGCUGUGGAAUGAAAUGGGCUGAAAAGAGAAAUUGUUACUGUAUUGAAAAACAGGGAUUCCCCGUGCUCUGAGCCCCUGAGAUUAUUGAAGAUAAAAGAACAAAGGAUCUAAUUUACAAUUCACCAUUGUUGCUGUCACUUCCAUUUUUAUUACUGCUGCACUAGCCCCUGUUGUAUUCUUUAAUGUUUAAUUCCCCCAGAAUGCUGCAGGCUAACCGGCUACCCUGGUUGGUGGGAUAAAAGGUGGUUUUAGGUGCUAGUGUACCUGCAGUUGCAUCCUGUCCAGAGUGAUUAAUUAGGCUGAUCCCUUCAAGUUUCUGAUCUGCUCUUUGUCUUUCAAAUCCCCAGCAGUUUGUGGAAACUGUGGAGCUGCUGAUCAGCCUGAAAAACUAUGACCCACAGAAGGACAGACAUUUCUGGCACAGUCAGGCUUGGCGCCUCUCUGAUUCCACCCAGCCUUUGGCCUGCAACCUUCUCCCUCCAGGCACUUUGAAUGUACAUGUGGUUGGCAACACAUUGACUGCUUGAUACAAUGGCAGGAGGGUGCAGUGCUGAAUUGCCUGGGUAGUUCAUACACAUACAGACCCAGUCUGCAAGUGGUAUGGCUGGACAGACCCCUAUCCUGGGUCUUAAAAUGUGAGAGGAGAUGUAGUGAGGCUCCUGUGCUGAUCCCUCUGACCAGUUGGAGAAGCCAGAUUAGAGGCAGGUGGAUAAAGAUUCACAGGUGAUUGUUGUAAGGUUUCUGGGCUGUAGCACUGCCUGCUCCCCCAGAGUGUGUGGUGCUGACAGUGCAGAAGGACAGUGUGGUGGUGUCAUCUUCCCUUCCUGACAGGCUCAAGUCCUUCCUGUGCCCUAAAUUCUCACUCUGCAUGCUGAGGGUCCAGUGACACUGAUGAAGCCAAAGCAGUCAAAUAUCCCUCAUGUGGACAUCAAGGCUCUGAAGAAACUCAAGAACAAGAAGCUAGUGAAAAAGCUAAGAAGUACAGUGCCCGUCUGGCUUCAGAGUCCCUCCCUUCAGAAUCCUGAUCAGAUCCUCUCACCUUGGGUCAGGGUCUGAACAAAGCUGCCAAGUUCCCCUCCCUCUUCGCUCACAAUGAAAACAUGGUGGCCAAGGUCAAUGAAAUCCAGUCUAUCAUCAAAUUUCAAAUGAAAAAGGUGCUUUGUCUGGCAGUGGCCAUUGGCCAUGUAAAAAUGACUGAAGAUGAGCUCGUCUACAACUUUCAUCUGGCCAUCGACUUUCUGGUGUUCUUGCUGAAGAACUGUCAGAAUGUGCAUGUUAUACUUCAAGAGCACCAAGGGGAAACCACAGCGCCUCUACUAAACUGGCAGUAAUAAAUGUUUCACAGCA